CCCCGCGCCCGCGGAGCCCCGGCUCCCGCCUGCCCAGCCCCCUCCCGGGGAGCGAGCCGGGACCCAGGGGUGGGAGCAGAGUCGGGGCUUUGUGGCGCCGGGGGCCGAGGAAGAAUGAAACGUGCAGUUGGGAGUGUUGCUCGCGUCCCAGGGAGCAGCGCAGGCCCGAUUGUCUGCCGCCGAGAUGGCCUUUUGUUCGGAGCAUAAGGUUUAAGAAACACACACACGUUUUCUGGGGUCUCUUGUUGGAUGUAAAUGUGCCGCAUCCAGACGCUCGCGGNNNNNNNNNNNNNNNNNNNNNNNNNCGCCCCGCCCCGCCCCGCCCCGCCCCGGCGACCGGGACCGUUGGGACGCGGACCUCACCCAGACUUCUGGGCCGCCGGCACUGCCUUCGCCCCGUUUCACUCCAGACUAGCCAAGCAUCCCACGGAGAUGAUAAAGCAAACAAUAACAUCUGAUCAUGACGUCCACGAGAUAAUGUGCCCGGCAAAGUUCUUUAGGAAUCGGGAUGAGCGGGAGGGUGAGGGAGUGAUCGUUUCCCUUCGUUUUCCUUAAACGUGACUUUAAGAGAUAAAUGGUGAAGUUUAUACCUUGGCCUGCUGGACAGCCGGUCCGCCCCAUGGCACGAAGCUCGGCAUCAAAGGGCCAAAUUAGACAUUCGACCGGGAGCCCUCGAAGCUGAGGAUGUUACCUUUGAAGAACAGAAACAAUGAAAAUACAGAGGAAUUGCAUUUGGAUACUUCUUCCUGUCAAUCAUCUUUGCCAGAUUCCUAUUUGAACAUCCUGAAAAUGAGGAAGACAUCAGAUCUCGCCUUAAGGAAGUCUGAUACCCAGGAGAUGAUCCGAGUUUCAACUCUCUGUGGUGAAAAGAGGGUGAAGAGCAGCAGAAGUCUACGGAAAAGUCGUCUUAUUAACUGGAAUACUGACUUUGCAAUCAAGAAUCAUGUACCGCUGAUAAUGAGUCCAUGGGCAGGCUCAGGGUGGCUCCAGGAAAAUUCAGCAAGGAUAGUUGUCCUUCAUGUUUCUAUUGUAGUACCCUUUCUUCCUGACCUUCUAUUGCUCCUCUGUGCCUAGGUACAGAAAGUGAAAAGAAGCAAUCUGACCAAUUCAUAUAUAUAUAAAUACACCAGUGUGUUAAUCUUUCCAAAGCUACCAAGAAGGCAAAAGAAGAUUGCUUCAUGGAAGGCAGUGCGGAAAGCAGGGAUUAAAAAAUAUCAUUCACUUAUUGACAAAUUUCUUGAAUGUCAAGAAUGCUUGGUAUAUAAAGAUAAUUAUCACACAGUCCACACUGGGUAUUUUGCAUGUGGAGCCAAUAUGAAUUUUUGGGAGCCAGAGUGGACUAUAGUAGGCAGAAUAAGGCUGCUUCUCUUCAAUAGAUGUAUCUGCCCUCCUCUAUUUUCUUACAUGAGGAACAAAAGGAACUUUACAGAUAGAAAUGACGUUAUGGACCUUCAAAUAGAGAAAUUAUCUUGAAUUAUCUGGAAGGAGCCAGUGUAAUGUCAUGGGCUCUGCAAAGUGGCAGAGGAAGACAGAAGUCAGUGAGACAGAUGUGAAGAACAAAAGGCAGAAGAGAUUUGAAGUGAAAAUAACCACCACUGCUAGCUUUGCAUAUGAAGAAAAUGGCUUCCACAAGCCAGGGAAUGUGUGGUCCUUGGAAGCUGGGAACUACCCUCGCUGAGAGCUGAGGAAGUCAGUCCUACAACUGCAAGGAAUUCAUUUCUGCCAACAACAUACACAAGGAAGGAAACGGGUUCUGUCCUACAGAAGUUAACCUAUAGAACUGUGACAGCCAUAACUUUGUCUGUUUGAAGUGGCUUGGUUUGUAGUAAAUUGUUAUUGCAGUUACAGAAAACUAAUACAAAUGGGAAUAAAAAGAACGCUUACCUUAAAAAGAGAAUUAAA
rnacentral:lncRNA from 1 species